AAGAGGCGUGAUGAUACUUACCCAUACACCAAUUCUGUAUUUGGAUGAUGAUUAUUGAAACAUGCACUACCAUCUGAUCUCUC